CAUUCGGCCAACUCAAAAGGGGUUGAUUAAGCUCAAGAAGUUAAAGGAGGAGAAUCAAGCAAAGGCAAAGGAAAGAACAUCGAGUAGCCGAGUUGGAACCGUUUUACCCAACACAAGGUUCCUUUGAUCCAUUUUUGUGUGCUC